rnacentral:rRNA from 1 species
UGAGGGAAUAUUGGGUCAAUGGGCGGAAGCCUGAACCAGCCAAGUAGCGUGCAGGACGACGGCCCUAUGGGUUGUAAACUGCUUUUAUGCGGGGAUAAAGUGGGCCACGCGUGGCCUUUUGCAGGUACCGCAUGAAUAAGGACCGGCUAAUUCCGUGCCAGCAGCCGCGGUAAUACGGAAGGUCCGGGCGUUAUCCGGAUUUAUUGGGUUUAAAGGGAGCGUAGGCCGGAGAUUAAGCGUGUUGUGAAAUGUAGAUGCUCAACAUCUGCACUGCAGCGCGAACUGGUUUCCUUGAGUACGCACAAAGUGGGCGGAAUUCGUGGUGUAGCGGUGAAAUGCUUAGAUAUCACGAAGAACUCCGAUUGCGAAGGCAGCUCACUGGAGCGCAACUGACGCUGAAGCUCGAAAGUGC